AGAGUUUGAUCAUGGCUCAGAACGAACGCUGGCGGCGUGCUUAACACAUGCAAGUCGCGUGCGCGGUUCCGUAGCAAUACGGGAUGGGCGCACGGCGCACGGGUGCGUAACACGUGGGCAAUCUGCCCUCCGAUGGGGAAUAACCCCGCGAAAGCGGGGCUAAUACCGCAUAACAUUCCUUGGACUAUGGUUUGAGGACUCAAAGCAGCAAUGCGUCAGAGGAGGAGCCCGCGCCCGAUUAGCUAGUUGGUGAGGUAACGGCUCACCAAGGCAAUGAUCGGUAGCUGGUCUGAGAGGAUGGCCAGCCACACUGGAACUGAGACACGGUCCAGACUCCUACGGGAGGCAGCAGUGGGGAAUCUUGCGCAAUGGGCGAAAGCCUGACGCAGCGACGCCGCGUGGGGGAUGAAGCUUUUCGGAGUGUAAACCCCUUUCGACUGGGACGAAUGCCCGCAAGGGAGUGACGGUACCAGUAGAAGAAGCCCCGGCUAACUACGUGCCAGCAGCCGCGGUAAGACGUAGGGGGCCAGCGUUGUUCGGAAUUACUGGGUGUAAAGGGUUCGUAGGCGGUGUGGCAAGUCGGGAGUGAAAUCUCUGGGCUUAACUCAGAGGCUGCUUCCGAAACUGCUGUGCUUGAGUGUGGGAGAGGCGCGUGGAAUUGCAGGUGUAGCGGUGAAAUGCGUAGAUAUCUGCAGGAACACCCGUGGCGAAAGCGGCGCGCUGGACCACAACUGACGCUGAGGAACGAAAGCUAGGGGAGCAAACAGGAUUAGAUACCCUGGUAGUCCUAGCCCUAAACGAUCAGGACUUGGGGGUGGCGCCCGUUCGGGCGUCGUCCCGGAGCUAACGCGUUAAGUCCUGCACCUGGGGAGUACGGUCGCAAGACUGAAACUCAAAGGAAUUGACGGGGGCCCGCACAAGCGGUGGAACAUGUGGUUCAAUUCGACGCUACGCGAGGAACCUU
rnacentral:rRNA from 1 species